GUGGCUGUAGCUCAGUUUGGUUAGAGCGCUGGCCUGUCACGCCAGAGGUCGCGGGUUCGAGUCCCGUCAGCCGCGCCA
rnacentral:tRNA from 2 species